UGGGAUCGGCGGUGAACUGGUCGAUCUCGGCUCUAGACGUGGUGGUGGCGGUGGUACGAUCUCAGGUGUGAGUGACGGCUCAGUCUUUGUAGAGUUACAACGCUUAGGGUUUCUGAAGAAUAAAUAAUGGGGAAUAAUGGUUUAUAUAUGGGACUCACCAAGGGCUUCCUACAACACUGACGGGCUCUGACGGGCCGAAAUCACUGGGCUGGGAAUUGGGUCGUUACAAUUCUCCUCCACUAAUAAGGAAUUCGACCCCGAAUUCGGCUCCUGAACCGACUGUCCAAUACCAUCCUCAAAAAGCUCUGGAUAGUCAAUCCUCAAGUGAUUUUCGGUCUCCCAGGUCUCCUCCUGGACAGACUCCAAAACGGAAAUCAGGGCGAAAAAUCGAGUCAGAACGUCCUUCGAACGGUUAAAAACGGAUAACCGGCGAUCUGGUCACAAGUCAACCCGCUGGUCAAAGGUCAACCCGGUCAACUCUGACCCAAGCCGGUCAACCCUUGACCAAAUUGAAAUCGAAUUGAACCAAAUCGGUUUUCCAUAACCGAAUUUAAAUCAAUUUUAACUACCGGUUUAACUUAACCAAUUUAAUUAAUUUAAACCAGAAAGCGAUUUAAUAAAUAACCGGUUAACCUAAACCGAACCAAAAUCGAUUAACCCAACCGGUUGACCGGAUCCGGGUUGACUCGCCUAGUCCACUCGGUCGAGUUGCCGAGUCACCAGCGGCGGAAAAAGGACGGCGGCUUACCAGAAUCAACGGCGGCGACGGAACACGGUGCGUGGUGGUGGCGCGUGAGAAAAGCCCCGCUUGACCGCGCGUCCGGGCGACUUUCCGGCUGAUAUUCUUGGUCCCGACUCGUCUCGACAUCACGAUCACGAUGGUGGUCUUAGAAUUACGAAAUUCCAAAUGGUUAGUGAGUUAUGAUCGAUUGAAUAAACGACCGUUUUUAAAACCAAAUCGGAAAGAUGAUUUCCGGUUACCUUCGUCUGGGAUCGGCGGUGAACUGGUCGAUCUCGGCUCUAGACGUGGUGGUGGCGGUGGUACGAUCUCAGGUGUGAGUGACGGCUCAGUCUUUGUAGAGUUACAACGCUUAGGGUUUCUGAAGAAUAAAUAAUGAGGAAUAAUAGUUUAUAUAUGGGACUCACCAAGGGCUUCCUGCAACACUGACGGGCUCUGACGGGCCGAAGUCACUGUGCUGGGAAUUGGGUCGUUACAAUUCUCCCCCACUAAUAAGGAAUUCGACACCGAAUUCAGCUCCUGAACCGACUGUCCAAUACCAUCCUCAAAAAGCUCUGGAUAGUCAAUCCUCAAGUGAUUUUCGGUCUCCCAGGUCUCCUCCUGGAUCCCGUCUCUCUCCCAACGGACU
rnacentral:lncRNA from 1 species